rnacentral:rRNA from 1 species
UACGGAGGAUGCAAGCGUUAUCCGGAAUUAUUGGGCGUAAAGCGUCCGCAGGUGGCACUUCAAGUCUGCUGUCAAAGACCGGGGCUUAACCCUGGAGAGGCAGUGGAAACUGAAGCGCUAGAGUGUCGUAGGGGUAGAGGGAAUUCCUGGUGUAGCGGUGAAAUGCGUAGAGAUCAGGAAGAACAUCGGUGGCGAAAGCGCUCUACUGGACGACAACUGACACUCAGGGACGAAAGCUAGGGGAGCGAAUGGG